rnacentral:ncRNA from 2 species
GAAUCGCGUGACGGUCCAGGUGCUCCCGCCGGGGCGAGCCCGCCGGGCCCGUCCGGGGCGGGGGAGAAUAGGGAAGUCCGGUGCAAAUCCGGCGCGGUCCCGCCACUGUGACCGGGGAGUCGUCGCCCCUCGCGCGCCACUGCGGCCGCUGCCCCAUCGGGGCCAGGCUGCGGGAAGGCCGGGCGGCGGCCAUGAUCCGGGAGCCAGGAGACCUGCCUGGACCGUGUACGUACG